CCCUCUCCCUCUCUCCUAUUUUUCCCUCUUUCUUGCCCUUCUUUCUUCUCCUCCCUUCCUCCCCUACUUUUCCUUCCUCCUGUCCCAUGUCUCGCUACCCCCUGUCCCUCUCUUCCUCCUUCCAACUUCGCUGUGGUCAGAAGGUCACAUCUUUUAGUCGCAAUCUAGGGAAUGGAAGGAAGGAAAGGGUGGGGAGUGGCGAGAGAGGAGGAGAAAGAGAAAAGAAAUAGGAGAAGAAAGGAGGUGGCGGUGGUUGUGGUGGCGGGUGGUAGCGUUGUGUGAUGGUAUUGUGUGGUGGCGGUGCGUAGUGGUUGUGAGUGGAAGAAAAAAAUAUAGUAUAAUUUUUAAAAUUUUUUUGUAUACUUAUGAGUUAUUUUUUAGAUGUCAUAUGGAUUAGAUGUUUUUAGAAUUACUUUUAUUUGUGUGUUAUUGUAACAUUAUAUGUGAAAAACGAGUUUAUGAAAAAAUUGUCCAAUCCAAGUGGAAUGUGUGGAUGGGGGAUUGCAUGAUUAUCG
rnacentral:lncRNA from 1 species